rnacentral:rRNA from 1 species
GACGAACGCUGGCGGCGUGCUUAACACAUGCAAGUCACGGGGGCCCGCAAGGGCAACCGGCGAACGGGUGCGUAACACGUGAGCAAGCUUCCGAUUAGUGGGGGAUAGCCGGCCCAACGGCCGGGUAAUACCGCAUACGUUCACUGGACGGCAUCGUCUGGUGAGGAAACCUCCGGGGCUAAUCGAGGCGCUCGCGGCCUAUCAGCUAGUUGGCGGGGUAACGGCCCACCAAGGCUAUGACGGGUGGCUGGUCUGAGAGGAUGGCCAGCCACAUUGGGACUGCGACACGGCCCAGACGCCUACGGGAGGCAGCAGUGGGGAAUAUUGCGCAAUGGACGAAAGUCUGACGCAGCGACGCCGCGUGUGGGAUGAAGCUCUUCGGGGUGUAAACCACUGUUGCCCGGGACGAACCUCCCCUUUCGAGGGGACUGACGGUACCGGGUGAGGAAGCACCGGCUAACUCUGUGCCAGCCGCCGCAGUAAUAC